rnacentral:tRNA from 1 species
UGCGGGAUGGAGCAGUGGUAGCUCACCGGGCUCAUAACCCGGGGGUCGUUGGUUCGAGUCCAGCUCCCGCUA